ACCAAAACACAUAAACCAUAAGUUAAUUAGGGUAAGGAUGAAUAAUCGUCAGUAAUUUUUGUACUCUCAAAGAGACUUAACUGGGUUGACCAGUUCCUUUUAUUCAGAUUAUUGAGCAGUAGAAAGAUUAACCUAUUCUAAUAUGAGUUUUAACUGUUAUUCUAACUUGUUUUAAGGUCCACUAGUCCCAAUUCCUUAAUUAAUUUAUACGUGCUAGUCAUAUUAUUGAGGGGCAAGAAGUCAGUGUCAAUAGCUGUAAGGACGGACGAAAAACCUCCAUUAGGUAAUCCUCUCUGUGAAACAGCACAAGAAGAAGGAGAAAGUUGCAUUAAAUUUUAUAUAUAUAGAUCGCAGAGGCGCGUCACGAGUGAUUUGGUACCUUAAAACAUGCAUGUCUCGUGUACCUUCCUUUGCCAAAUCUAUAGCUUCUUUCUGUCUUCCCUAGUUUCCUUCCUAGUGAAGGCGCCGAAACCCCUUGAUGUUUUUCAGGCAUGUUGGUUUGAGAGGUUGAAGCUGCCAGCAUGAUCUGGUAAUGAAUCUAGACAUCACUCUUUUCUUUUCCUUCUUUAUGUAACAUUCUUUAACCAGUCUUGAUAUAGAUGUAGUGUGUAGCGGAGGUGAGAGAUACCCGCAGUUAAGUAGAUUGUAUAGGACCAGUUUGGAUCAAAAUUCUCGAGUGGAAGAGGAAUUAUUUAUGUGCUGAAAGCAUUUUGAGGAUAGGGGUAUUGUCAUUAAUUUGGAAUUAAUUUAGAUGUCUUAAGUAAAGAACCCUGCUUGGACUUAGCUUCAUAGAUAUGGUUCAGCAUCAGGUCAUCUUGCAGCUUCAAUCACUCACUCCCCAACAAAAAUAACUUUCCAGCUACUUAAGGAUACUUCAGAUUUCUCUCUCUUUCUCUCUCUCAACCCACAAUUUCUUGAGUUGCUUACAUGCCUGUUUGUGCAAGUUUGUCUUGACUUCCCUGGUUGUACAACUAGAAUCAACAAGUAAAACAAAAUCCCAUUACACAAGACAAGACAAGAACGCUAAUAAGGCAACUCACUGUGUUGUAAUUAACAUUGUGAUAGUGAUGUAUCAGCACCAUUAACAGUUGCAGCUUCUUUGAUAUAAAAUUACCACACAGUUUUCAGACUGCUUGGAAAGUUGAA